UACGGAGGAUGCGAGCGUUAUCCGGAUUUAUUGGGUUUAAAGGGUGCGUAGGCGGGCUAUUAAGUCAGUGGUGAAAUCCUGCAGCUUAACUGCAGAACUGCCGUUGAUACUGAUAGUCUUGAGUUUGGUUAAGGUAGGCGGAAUGUGUAAUGUAGCGGUGAAAUGCUUAGAUAUUACACAGAACACCAAUUGCGUAGGCAGCUUACUGAGCCGACACUGACGCUGAGGCACGAAAGCGUGGGGAUCAAACAGGAUUA
rnacentral:rRNA from 1 species